GACGAACGCUGGCGGCGUGCUUAACACAUGCAAGUCGAACGGAAAGGCCCUGCUUUUGUGGGGUGCUCGAGUGGCGAACGGGUGAGUAACACGUGAGUAACCUGCCCUUGACUUUGGGAUAACUUCAGGAAACUGGGGCUAAUACCGGAUAGGAGCUCCCGCUGCAUGGUGGGGGUUGGAAAGUUUCGGCGGUUGGGGAUGGACUCGCGGCUUAUCAGCUUGUUGGUGGGGUAGUGGCUUACCAAGGCUUUGACGGGUAGCCGGCCUGAGAGGGUGACCGGCCACAUUGGGACUGAGAUACGGCCCAGACUCCUACGGGAGGCAGCAGUGGGGAAUAUUGCACAAUGGGCGGAAGCCUGAUGCAGCAACGCCGCGUGCGGGAUGACGGCCUUCGGGUUGUAAACCGCUUUCGCCUGUGACGAAGCGUGAGUGACAGUAAUGGGUAAAGAAGCACCGGCUAACUACGUG
rnacentral:rRNA from 1 species